GGAAGGGUGGCAGAGUUGGUCGAUUGCGGUGGUCUUGAAAACCAUUGGACGUGUAACAGCGUUCCCUGGGUUCGAAUCCCAUACAUUCCG
rnacentral:tRNA from 1 species